GCACUAUUCACUUUCAAAGCAAGCUCAGCCUCUUGUUUCCCAAUAUGGAAUGUUAUAUCUGACUCCAGUUGCUUCACACGAAGAUCCUUUCCCUCUAGUAAGUUCGUCAAGAUUCUUCUUCCAUCAUGAAAAUAGAUCUCCAAAAUAUUUGAAAAUGAUUGCUUAUCAAUCCGUAUGAGUCUGCAUAGUUCACUAACACGGACAGUAUAUGGCU
rnacentral:misc_RNA from 1 species